rfam:TPA: Bos taurus chromosome 17, whole genome shotgun sequence.
UCCCUGGUGGCUCAGAGGUUAAAGCGUCUGCCUCCUAUGCGGGAGACCCGGGAUUGAUCCCUGGGUUGGGAA